UUAUGGCCAUUGAUUUGUUCUAAUCCAAAGAUUAAAUUUUAUUUUUUAUCUAUCUUCAGCCUUUCUUUCAUUGGUUAAUUUUUAUUUUGUCAAGGAUCACAUUCUUAGCCAUUGAUUUUUUUUUUUUUGAUCCUAAGGUCUAAAAUCAUCCUGUCUCUUUUCUCAUGGAUCUGAGAUCUCAUUCUUCUCAUCCCUCACUUCUCAAACAAUUCACGUAACACAAACAUCUCAUCUCUCUGUAUAACUUCCCUCAUCUCUCCUCACACACACACACGAAGGUGGAGCCAAGCCCAGCGACCCCGGAUCUGAAGAUACUGGACCACCGCCAUCUCUCCCAUUCGCCACCGUCCUCUCUCACCACCAAUGAUGUGGUGGUCAUUUAGUUUGCGGCUAGGAGGCAACAGAGAAUCCGGUGGUCGUUAGCAGAGUGGUGGUCACGGGCUUGCGGCGAUGAGGAAACAGAGAAGCUGGUGUUCGCGAGCAGAUUGGUGGUCAUGGGGCGGUGAGGAGACGACAGAAAAGCUGUUGGUCGUGAGAUGAGGCGGUGCUCAUGGGGCUUGCGGCGGCAACGAACGGAGAAGUUCGUGAGGAGGCGGCGGCAAAGAACAUUAUUAGGUUUAGAUUAGGUUUAGAUCUAAUUUGUAAACCAUCUGGUUUAGUGUAAACCAUUUCUCCUAGGAAGCCUGGUUUUCUUACUAGGUUUAGUUUUGGUUUAGUUUUGGUUAGGUUUUGGUUUAGUUUUGGUAUAUACUUUUAAUUUUUAAAUCAUAUUCUUUUUUAUACAUUAAUAAAAAAAAAACGAAUUUAAAUUUUAA